GGUCUGGAUAGGUAUAAACAGUAUAGUGGUGUAUCUGUAGGGUCUGGAUAGGUAUAAACAGUAUAGUGGUGGAUCUGUAGGGUCUGGAUAGGUAUAAACAGUAUAGUAGUGUAUCUGUAGGGUCUGGAUAGGUAUAAACAGUAUAGUAGUGUAUCUGUAGGGUCUGGAUAGGUAUAAACAGUAUAGUGGUGGGGUCUGGAUAGGUAUAAACAGUAUAGUGGUGGAUCUGUAGGGUCUGGAUAGGUAUAAACAGUAUAGUGGUGGGGUCUGGAUAGGUAUAAACAGUAUAGUGGUGGAUCUGUAGGGUCUGGAUAGGUAUAAACAGUAUAGUGGUGGAUCUGUAGGGUCUGGAUAGGUAUAAACAGUAUAGUGGUGGAUCUGUAGGGUCUGGAUAGGUAUAAACAGUAUAGUGGUGGGGUCUGGAUAGGUAUAAACAGUAUAGUGGUGGAUCUGUAGGGUCUGGAUAGGUAUAAACAGUAUAGUGGUGGAUCUGUAGGGUCUGGAUAGGUAUAAACAGUAUAGUGGUGGAUCUGUAGGGUCUGGAUAGGUAUAAACAGUAUAGUGGUGGAUCUGUAGGGUCUGGAUAGGUAUAAACAGUAUAGUGGUGGGGUCUGGAUAGGUAUAAACAGUAUAGUGGUGGAUCUGUAGGGUCUGGAUAGGUAUAAACAGUAUAGUGGUGGAUCUGUAGGGUCUGGAUAGGUAUAAACAGUAUAGUGGUGGAUCUGUAGGGUCUGGAUAGGUAUAAACAGUAUAGUGGUGGAUCUGUAGGGUCUGGAUAGGUAUAAACAGUAUAGUGGUGGGGUCUGGAUAGGUAUAAACAGUAUAGUGGUGUAUCUGUAGGGUCUGGAUAGGUAUAAACAGUAUAGUGGUGGAUCUGUAGGGUCUGGAUAGGUAUAAACAGUAUAGUAGUGUAUCUGUAGGGUCUGGAUAGGUAUAAACAGUAUAGUGGUGGAUCUGUAGGGUCUG